rnacentral:rRNA from 1 species
UACGUAGGGACCAAGCGUUGUUCGGAUUUACUGGGCGUAAAGGGCGCGUAGGCGGUUUGUCAAGUCAGUUGUGAAAUCUCCGAGCUUAACUCGGAACGGUCAACUGAUACUGUCAAACUAGAGUACAGAAGGGGCAAUCGGAAUUCUUGGUGUAGCGGUGAAAUGCGUAGAUAUCAAGAGGAACACCUGAGGUGAAGACGGGUUGCUGGGCUGAUACUGACGCUGAGACGCGAAAGCGUGGGGAGCAAACAGG